rnacentral:tRNA from 1 species
GGGGAUAUAGCUCAAAGGUGAGUGUAUGCCUGGCGUGUAUGAUGUCCUGAGUUCAAUCCCCAGUGCCUCUG